rnacentral:misc_RNA from 1 species
AAGUCGUAACAAGGUUUCCGUAGGUGAACCUGCGGAAGGAUCAUUAACACGUAUCCAACGUUAAAACCCCCCCCGUGAACUUUCAAUCCUGCUCUUGUAACCCGCGUAGUUCGCAAUCUCUGGUAAAUCAUAGCCCGGAAAGUUGUUUUGAUUCGGAGACCUCUGGCUACGUGAGAACAUUGGAACAGUUACAAUCGAGCGGUAGUUUCAUAGGCAUUGUUUCCCCAAGCAGUCAGUGUCGGAAAGUGUCACUGAUUGUGCAAGGAUAGCGCUUCACGAUUCCUGUAGACCGUACACUCGGGCAGGAGCUAUGCCAAAGGGUCCCCAUGCCCCCUUAUAACCCCACAGUUUAAUGUAAAGCUCAAUGUAAUACAUUGGGUAAAAAAACCGAACAACUGUUAACAAUGGAUAUCUUGGUUCUC